UGCUGAAGAGUCCCACAAUAGGACGAAACGGCCGUCCA
rfam:Schistosoma haematobium scaffold868_70, whole genome shotgun sequence.